GGCUUUAGGCUUUUUUUUUUUGCAUAUGAGAAUAAAUUUCAAAACCAAAUUCAUUUACAAUGAGGUCCGAAAGCAGAAAAAUAAAAAACAAACAGAGGCCCAACAAAGUCCAAAACAAAAAAAUGCCAAAGGGAUUUGAAAAUCGACACGACAGUACGAAUACAAGCAAGUGCGGGACACGUGUAAGAACCUCAGUGAAGGAGGAGACACGCGUCGCAACGGUCGGCCACCGUCAUCACCACUUGAAAAUCACCGCCGGAGCAGCUUUCCGUCGAUCCACCAGAAAUACUGAUCUCAAGAAAGAAGAACCGUCGAGCCAACUUUAGUCGAAAAAGACAAAAUAAAAAUAUGAGACUUUAGCCGUCGGAUUUCCACCACCAAAAAACUCAAUCCGUCGAAACCGAGAAUAAAACCAAAAAGAAAAACACUAAAGGAGUUAAAACCAUAGCCAAAUCGACCUUCACUUUGUAGAGAUCCAAUUGCAUGCUUCAAAACAAAAGAAUAAAUGAACCAAAAUAGUCUGAAGCGAAGAUUAGAAAGAAACCCGAAUUAACCCGGAAAAGAGCUAGACGACACCAUCAGAAAAGACACUGUGAUCGACAUCGCCGGAACCAAGUGCCAAUGAAUCACCACAAAGAGAUGUGAUUCACUGGUACCAAAAGCCGAACAUCAGCACCAAGAGAACAUGAGAGCUUCCAUAGCCAAAAACCGGGCACACCAUGCAUAAGAAACCACAUUCCAGAACUGUUAUCCACGAUGCUGAGUAAACAAAGCGCUGAAAUUUUUUCCAGAGAAACAAUGAGAACUCUCUCUCUCUCUCUUUUCUCAUUUUCUCUCUGAAGGAUUUGAGAGACUUAAGAGAGAGAUGAC
rnacentral:lncRNA from 1 species